UCCUAUUCAAUAUUUUCUUGUGAUGAAUGAAAAUUCUGGUGGCGAAGCCUCUAUUAAGUGCCUUUACAAUAGAAAGAAAUUAUUGAAGGAGAGGAAGUGACUAUGGAAGCUCAGAUGGAAAAGCUCAUGGACGGUUUGAAGCUUCAUGUUUGGUUGGUGUUAGAUUUUCAGUCGUCGAAGGUAAUUAUGAGAGCAUCAAGGUCCAAGGAACAAGAGGACUUGGUCCUUGCACAAGAACUGCGGAUGCAACUCGAUAUCCUUCAAGAGACGAUAGAACACAAUUGGCGCCAUCUGUUUUUUUUCCAUAAUAUUUGUCUCAA